GGAUCUCCAGCAGUGGCGUUACUUCUAGCGGCUGGAUACCGGGUUCUCCGCGAGAUCCCGAGAUAUUCUCCCCGCACGGAAGCGACGACUGGCCUGGCCAGAGGACUCGCGUGGGAGCGAGGUGCCGGCCCCGACAGGACGGUGAGCCUACCCGUAUAUUACAAGAAAUCUCAAGUCAAACACUGGAAAAGAUGUCAGAAGAUUCAGAAAAGGAAGACUAUUCAGACAGAACAAUCAGUGAUGAAGAUGAAUCGGAUGAGGAUAUGUUCAUGAAAUUUGUAAGUGAAGAUCUUCAUCGGUGUGCACUUUUAACAGCUGACUCUUUUGGUGAUCCCUUCUUCCCCCGGACUACACAGAUACUAUUAGAAUAUCAGCUAGGGAGAUGGGUGCCACGUCUUCGUGAACCAAGGGAUUUAUAUGGUGUCUCUUCUUCUGGUCCAUUGAGCCCAACACGGUGGCCAUACCACUGUGAAGUCAUCGAUGAAAAAGUCCAGCAUAUUGAUGGAGUCUCAUGCUGGAGUGAGUCUCACCAGGCUGGAGUGCAGUGGUGCGAUCUCGGCUCACUGCAACCUCCACCUCCCAGGUUCAAGCGAUUCUCCUGCUUCAGCCUCCUGAGUAGCAGAGACUACAGGCGCGUGCCACCACGCCCAGCUAAUUUUGUAUUUUUAGUAGAGACGGGGUUUCACCAUGUUGGCCAGGAUGGUCUCCGUCUCUUGACCUCGUGAUCCGCCUGCCUCAGCUUCCCAAAGUGCUGGGUUUUUUUUUUUUUUUUUUUUUUUUAACAUUCUGUAUCUCUUAGCUGACAUUGGAAAUCUGACCUGUAAUUUUCAAAAGUGUCAAAGUCAUGAAAUAUAAGGAAAGACUGAAAAGCUGUUCUAUAUCGAAGAAAACUAAAAUACACAUUAAAGUUCAAUGCAAUGUGUGAUUCUAAAGUGGAUCCUUUUGCUAUAGAGGACAUUAUUUAUACAACUGUCAAAAUUUUAAGUCUAAGGAUUAAAUAUUAGAAAUAAAUCAGUAUUAAUGUCCUGAUCUUGAUGGUUGUAUUAUGGUUAUUUAUAUAGGAGGAUUUCCUUCACUGGAGGAAAUAUAAGUAUUUGGAGAGGAUGGGGUAUUAUGUUUGCAAAUAUUUCAGGGGAAAAAAGUUGUUUUUCCUGUUAUUGCAACUUUUCUGUAUGUUUUCAACUGUUUCAAAUAAAAUUAAAAACCACAUGCCUAGGAAUAAAUCUGAUAGACAAGAUUUCUAUGAAGAAGCAAUAAAGCAUUGAGAGAGAUUUUUAAAAGACCUAAGUAAAUAGAGGGAAAUAGCAUGUUCAUAGAUUGGGAGACUCAUUAUUUUAAAGAUGUCAGUUAUCUCCAAACUGAUCUACAUGUCCCAUGCAAUACCAGUCAAAAUCCCAAUUGUGAUUUUUUUAUAGAAAUUGACAAGGUACUUUAAAAAUGCAUAUGGAAAUGCCAACGACCUCUUAAAAGGACAAAAAAAUUGUAAGAGUUACUAGCUCUUAAACCUUAAUAAAGUUAUAGUAAUAUAUGGCAUUGCUGAAAGGAAACAGGAAUGGAAUAGAACAGAGAGCUUAGAAACAGACCUAUGCAUAUAUGGUCAUUAUGACAAAGGUGGAACUGCAAGAGAAAGUUAAAGAUGGUCUUUUCAGUAAAUAAUACUGGAAUAAUUGGAUUUCCAUAUGGAAAAAGUGAAAUCUCACCCCAACCUUAUGCACAAAAGUCCAUUUUAAAUGGGUUAUGGAUAUAAAAAUGAAAGGUAAAACAAUAAGACUUCUAGAAAAUAAUACAAGAAAAUAUCUUCAUAAUAUUAAAAUCUGGAAAGGCUUAAACAGAACAGAAAAUACCCUAAACCAUAAAGAAAAAGACUGAUAAAUUUGACUACGAUACAAUUAAAAACCUCAGUUCAUCAAAAAAUAAAACGCAAACAAUAGAUUGGGAGAAUAUAUUAAUAUUUGCAAUACAUAACUGACAAAUAGAUCAUUUCUGGAAUACAUAAAGCAUUUCUGAAAGUAAUAAGAAAAGACAAAGAACCCAGUAGGAAAAUGGGCAAGAGACUUGAAUGGGCACUUUAUAAAAAAUGAUAUUCACAUGGCCAAUAAACAUAUGAGAUAAUAUCAACCUUAUCAUGAAGUCUUGUUGUGAUUUUAAUUUGCUAUUCCCUGAUUGUUAAUGAGGCUGAGUACUGUUUCACAGAAACCUUGCAAGGUUAAAUUUAACUUAUACUAAGGAAUGGUGAGCAUAUGGAGCAAACAGAAACUUUGUGACCUGCUGGUGGGUGUGUAAACUGGUAUAAUCAUUUUGGAUGAUAGCUUGGUGUUAUUUACUGAAAUUGAUACAUGCCCUGCAACCUAGAAUUUUUACUCCCAGUUAUAUACCUAAAACUGAUGUGAGCACAGGUGCUCUAAGCAAUAUGUAUAAAGCUGUUCAUAGCACCAUUUUUCUUAAUAGCCCCAAACUGAAACAGCCCAAAUGUCCAUUAUAAAUAGAAAUUGAUAAAUUGUAACAUUUUGUACAAUAUUAUAUAUCAAUGAAAUAAGCAAAUUACAGCAAUAUGCCACAAUGUGGAUUGAUUUCAUGAAUAUACGUGAAAAACAGCACAGAAGAAUACCAUACACUAUGUGAUUUUAAUUUUAUAAAGUUCAAAUAUAGGCAAAGCAAAGCAAUAGUUUUAUUUACACUUCUGUAGAUAAAAACUGUAUUAUACACAUGCAUAUAUAUGAAUGCUUAGGUGGUAAAAUUAUAAAGGAGAGUAAAGAAAUGACUGCAUUACAUUAAGACUAAUGGCUACUUUUCAAAGGGAGGGAGAGGCUGGUGAUGGGAAAGGGGCAUGAGUGGAGUAUGUAAGGUGCUUGCAAUGUAAUAUUUCUUGGCCUAUGUGGUAUUUGCUUUGUGAUAAAUCAGUAAGCUGUAGUUCUUUGUUUUUGCACUUUUCAUAAGUAUAAUACCUAAUAAACAUUUAAAUAUUU
rnacentral:sRNA from 1 species